ACCGAUAAUUAUCGAGCAGCGAUGUUCACCCCUAAAGGGACUUGCCGAGUUAUUUUGUUUUUUGUUGAAAUAUUGCUUAUGCAUGAAGUUGAAUAUUAGUUUUGUACGAUGAGCGAUGUGGACGAUAUUGAAAUAAGUCAUCAACAGUUGCUGCAGGAAAUUACGACGCUGUUGGCAGCUAGCACCGAGAGAAGCGAUGCAAACGCCCUGCAAUUGAAUCUAGAACUUCAGCGACGCCUGGAACAGGUGCGCAGACGUAUAUUGAAGCUGUUAGAGAUAGUGCGCGGUCGUUACAAACGUAAUGAACAGACUCUCAUACGACGCCAGAAUCCACGCUCUCAUUGUGUAACAGCAAACGGAGUUGAAAACGUGGGAAAGAGCGGGGAAUUGCUGCGUGGCGGGACGUUUCGUUUUAAGGGUAAUCUAUACUUUCGCGACAACGAUGGACGUAGCUGUCCCAACAAUGAGGACUAUGAGCGGCGUUGUAACACCGAAAUGUUUCCUACCGAUUUCGAUAUGCGCUCAAAGCACGUAUGGACAGUUUUGGACAAAAAGGGCAUCGUCAUGGGAAUAAAGCAGCAGCUGUUAGAGUAUACCAGCUACCAGGUCGCUGCAGCGAAGAAGGCGUCCAACAAAAUGAUUGAUCGCAAACGGAAAUACGUCGAUCUGCAUGCACAAACAUUGGCCAGUUUGUUAGCUAAUGUUGAUAGCAAUUUCAGCAUCGACUGGCAUCAAAUUAGCACACUGGAUCUCGAGCAUCGUCAUUCCUCCUACAGCUGUGAGGCCAUGUGGCUAGUGUAUUUGCAGCCUAAGCUAAAGCGCGACGAUUGGACACCUGAGGAGGAUACAGCUUUGCUGGAAGCGGCUAAAGCCAACAAGCUACAAAACUGGCAAGCAAUAGCGGCUGCAGUGGGUCAACGUUCCGACUAUCAGUGCUUUGUGCGCAUGCAGACAACGAUGCGCUUUCACUUGGAGCCCACAAGUGCGAUGCGAUGGGGCUAUGAGGAUAAUGAACGUUUGCGUGCUGUUGUCCAGCGAAAUACUGUGAAUGGGUUGACUAACUGGUCGCAAGUUGUCGAGCAUUUUCCGGGCAGAUCGCGAUCGACAUUAAUUGGACGCUAUAUAUAUGUGUUGCAUCCCAGCAUCAGUCACGAGCCUUUUACACCCAGUGAGGAUCUAAUGCUGUUCGCUGCCUACGAGGAGUACAAUGGCAAAUUCAAUUGUUUCCCGCGUACUUUGUUUCCGAAUCGUUCGCUGGCGCAGCUGCGUACACGAUAUAACAACGUGCUGGCACAGCGCAAUAAAACAGAUCCGUGGUCCAUGGAAGACGACACAAAGCUAAUGAGUUUUGUUACCGAGCACGGUACCUCGCAGUGGGUGAAGUGUGCCAAUCACUUGGGCAAUCACACACGUACCAGCUGUCGUACACGCUUUCUGGUCAUCAAGCGGUUUCUUGAGCAACAUCCGGAGGCGACGGUGAGUGACAUACCACGCCGCAAGGUAAAAAAAAAUGCUCCAGUAACCGCCGAGAAUUGGGUUCAGCGUUGGCAAGAAUGGCAAGCAGAUCCAGAAUCACUGGUCGUAAAUCCCGUUCACAAGCCGAAACGAAAGAUGCGGAAAUCGGCCAUUAAUGUCAAGAUUAUGGAGCCAUUACGCGGCAUUGACUCAGACAUCUACGAGUACUUCAAGUAUUCUUAUAAUUUAAAACUCGAUGCCCCGCCAGCACCAAUCCCGCUUCCACGUAACGAACGGAAUCUUUACGUAGUGGCCAAUGCGUUGCGCUACCGGCCACCAUCCAAUGCCAACCCCUUGGUCCAGAGCGUCACACUGAGCAAGCAGCUAAACCGAUUCUACAGCAAGAUGCUGCAUCAAUUGCCGGCCUUGGAGGCAAGUGAAUCAUCUACAACGCCAUUGCUGCUGCCGCCUAAUUGGUCCACAAUGAUGGGUUUCCGUGCCAUGUGCAUAUUGUCAGUGGAUUGGCGCAAUCAUUCGAAAAUUGGAUCGCAGUUGAAACUUCCCGUCGACUAUGAUGAAUCGAAGUCAGCAGUGCAGCUAUUUCGGCAACGCUUACGCACUCUCUUCUAUACCACCACACUAUUAAGUCGGCUGGAACCUUCUUCAUUUGAGCAGCUUCCAUCGGCCUUAAUGGCACUGCCGCGACCAGCUGUUAAAUAUGGUUCGGCAAUAAAAUCUGCUCCUUCGCCAUCCAGACAGCAUCGAAAGGGAAACCUGAAGAGCUACGAAUCGUUCAGAAACUUAAGCGAUUCAGACUCUCAAAAGAUUGCCCGCGAACAAAUCGAAGAACUGAGCCGCAUGUCACAGUCGCAUAAGAGUCUUAAAUCCGAGUUUAAGGACGAGCCGAAUGUUAAGCAGGAACUAUCUUGCGAAUAGAGAAGCUUACACGUUUCUAAUAGGUUAUAUAACUUAUAUCGUGUUUAUUUAUAUAUAUAUAUAUAAUUAACAAUAUGUUGCAUUCCCAACAAAACCGAUUAUCAUAUGUGGGAGUAGCCCUUAAAAGUUAAAUAUACGUCGUAUUUAUGCAAUUUA